rnacentral:rRNA from 1 species
UGCAAGUCGAGCGGUAGCACAGAGAGCUUGCUCUCGGGUGACGAGCGGCGGACGGGUGAGUAAUGUCUGGGAAACUGCCUGAUGGAGGGGGAUAACUACUGGAAACGGUAGCUAAUACCGCAUAACGUCGCAAGACCAAAGUGGGGGACCUUCGGGCCUCAUGCCAUCAGAUGUGCCCAGAUGGGAUUAGCUGGUAGGUGGGGUAACGGCUCACCUAGGCGACGAUCCCUAGCUGGUCUGAGAGGAUGACCAGCCACACUGGAACUGAGACACGGUCCAGACUCCUACGGGAGGCAGCAGUGGGGAAUAUUGCACAAUGGGCGCAAGCCUGAUGCAGCCAUGCCGCGUGUGUGAAGAAGGCCUUCGGGUUGUAAAGCACUUUCAGCGGGGAGGAAGGCGGUGAGGUUAAUAACCUCAUCGAUUGACGUUACCCGCAGAAGAAGCACCGGCUAACUCCGUGCCAGCAGCCGCGGUAAUACGGAGGGUGCAAGCGUUAAUCGGAAUUACUGGGCGUAAAGCGCACGCAGGCGGUCUGUCAAGUCGGAUGUGAAAUCCCCGGGCUCAACCUGGGAACUGCAUUCGAAACUGGCAGGCUAGAGUCUUGUAGAGGGGGGUAGAAUUCCAGGUGUAGCGGUGAAAUGCGUAGAGAUCUGGAGGAAUACCGGUGGCGAAGGCGGCCCCCUGGACAAAGACUGACGCUCAGGUGCGAAAGCGUGGGGAGCAAACAGGAUUAGAUACCCUGGUAGUCCACGCUGUAAACGAUGUCGAUUUGGAGGUUGUGCCCUUGAGGCGUGGCUUCCGGAGCUAACGCGUUAAAUCGACCGCCUGGGGAGUACGGCCGCAAGGUUAAAACUCAAAUGAAUUGACGGGGGCCCGCACAAGCGGUGGAGCAUGUGGUUUAAUUCGAUGCAACGCGAAGAACCUUACCUGGUCUUGACAUCCACAGAACUUUCCAGAGAUGGAUUGGUGCCUUCGGGAACUGUGAGACAGGUGCUGCAUGGCUGUCGUCAGCUCGUGUUGUGAAAUGUUGGGUUAAGUCCCGCAACGAGCGCAACCCUUAUCCUUUGUUGCCAGCGGUCCGGCCGGGAACUCAAAGGAGACUGCCAGUGAUAAACUGGAGGAAGGUGGGGAUGACGUCAAGUCAUCAUGGCCCUUACGACCAGGGCUACACACGUGCUACAAUGGCAUAUACAAAGAGAAGCGACCUCGCGAGAGCAAGCGGACCUCAUAAAGUAUGUCGUAGUCCGGAUUGGAGUCUGCAACUCGACUCCAUGAAGUCGGAAUCGCUAGUAAUCGUAGAUCAGAAUGCUACGGUGAAUACGUUCCCGGGCCUUGUACACACCGCCCGUCACACCAUGGGAGUGGGUUGCAAAAGAAGUAGGUAGCUUAACCUUCGGGAGGGCGCUU